GCCUGGCCCAGGCCUUCCAUGACAAACCCAUCAGCGCACCUCCAUAACUGCAGGUCACUGCAACCAUCACUCCAUGUCAUAACCCUUGGGGUUGUUUGAGCUGCAUGACAGAGGGUUGGACUAGAUGGCCCUCGGGAUCCCCUCCUACUUCCUAAAUCUCUUUAAAAUCUCUGAAGGACCCCCAGCAUUUGGAAUAUUUGAUGGCUCCAUGCAUCACCAUCUUGGCAUGCCAGAAAAAAGAGGAUUAGCAGCGCUUGCUCAACCUGCGGCAAAAACGGGCAUAACAGAGGAGAGUCGGAGGAGAAAACCAUGUUUGAGUAAGCAAAGAAAUUGCCCAGGUCGAGAAAGGCUGGCUUAACAUCUCUUUGCUUUGCAAGGGAAGUGCUACAAGCAGGAAGGCUGGUUGAAUCAAGGUGGCUUCCCAAUGAGCAGGGGUGGCUCAACCUAUAUGCGAAGUACAGAAAUGUGGAAGGCGCCAAUCCCCUGGGGGCGCUAUUGAGGUGCCUGGUUCAGUGCCCAGAGAGAGAGAGAGAGAGAGAGGGAGAGGGGGGGGACAAACAAAAGUUCUAGGAAAUGGCAACGCACCCUGGGUUUCCCUAGGCCAGGCCUUUGCCAGAGGAAGGAAACUCUUCCCUUUGGUAAAGGCCCGAGACUUUGGGGAAAUCUCCAUGGCUCUCUUCUUCCACUCUCGCUGCAUUUGGGGGGGGGGGAUGUGCCAAAAUACUGUUUGUGUUGCACCCCAAGGCAGCGUGAGCACUCGAAAACCAGACAAGAGCCAAUAUAACACACUAUAUCUUUAUUAAAACAAUUAUAAAUCCAAAAGAAAUUAGGUAUAGAGUCUGAGUAAGGAAUAGUUCUUUUCAGAAAGUCAAUGACUGUUUCAAUUGUGUGAAGGAAAAGGUCCGAUAUUAUAAUCCACAAUGAGAACUCGAUAGCUCUCCCAAGAAAUCAAAGUCCAUGAAGUUAAACAGGGAAACAAGGAUGGCAGAAAACAGAGUUCUAUCCACUGGAAAUGCUUCAUAGCAAUCAAGGCAACAAAGUUGUUAAAGCUGAGGCAAACUUGAAACAGGAACAAGGAAUAACAUCGGAAGUAAAGUCAAGGUCUACUGGAGAGUCACGGCACAGCACGGCCCGACUGGAACUGGAAAACUUGGCUUGAAACAAGAGCUAGAAACGGAGAAACCUCUCUCCAAAAAGCAACGUUGACACCGCAAGGAAAUCUACCGAACAAAACACUUUUAACAGAUUCUGGGCUGUUCAGAAUUUGGGGAGUACAAACUCCCAAAACUUUCCCAAGGGAACGCUACCCAUUAUCCCAUCUAUUUGCCAGUCUCUGGCUGCGGCGGAUUUCCUGUUUUGCACUUCUUUCUCUAGUCACAAAAUCUCUACGAUUAAAAACCCUGUUCCCAGGCGUUUUUUCCACAUCUGGCUCUAUCUGCGAGGGAGGACUAGAAGAAUCCUCUCCAAUUAACAAAUCUCCAGCGUCAGUAUCUUCAGGCACCUGCAGCUGUAAAGGCCCCUCUGUGGAGGGUGCAAUGUCAGUAAAUUCCUCAUCAUUAUCUGUGUCAAAGUGCAGGUCCCGAAAGACUGUAGGCCUUGGUGCCCUUGCUGGCUGGGACCUAGCUGGCUGGGACCUGAGUUUGCUUACACUUGAAAAUUGCCUAGGGCCGGCCCUGCCAAUGAGCCCACCCAUGAGAGGAGAAGUCCAUUGGGCUGAACUGCUGGAUGAAAGUGGAAGGACAGACGUGGCUGUUGAUGCUGGAACUCAAAAGAGAUGCAUAUUCACAGCUCGUAAGAAGUAGUCAGCCUGGCUGGCCAAUGGGAGAAUUUGGGGAACCAAUUUAGACCUUAUACUAAACUUGAGGCAAGAGUUUCCCCCACUUUGUAGAUGCUCUUGACGAACGUCCAUGGGGAAUCGUAAGAUAGAAUCGUAAGGCGGGAGAAUCAUAGAAUAAUAGAGUUGGAAGAGACCUCAUGGGCCAUCCAGUCCAACCCCCUGCUGAAGAACAGCAAGGCCCAUCAACUGUGAGGAAUUGUGAGAAUUGGGAGUCCAAAACACCUGGAGGGAAGGUUGAAGUUUGCCCAUACCUGCCAUAGAUUCCUGCAGAAGAGGGUUGGACUGGAUGGCCCUUAGGGACCCCUUCAAACUUCAUGAUUCUCUGGAGAAGGAAGGCAACAAGGCCAAUGGCUUGGACUUCCACCAUCCUUUGCUGCUGCCUGUUUUUGGGGGUCUCCUGCACCCCGGCCCUCAACACCCACCAAGCCCCCCCCCCGCCCCACCCUUGGGUGCCUUUCUUGUCCUACAUCUUGUGAGCGAUACCAGACUCCCCUCUCUGGUGCCUCCUUGCCCAGAGCCCUGUUCCCAGCUGGAUGCUGGUGACUAAUCCCAUAAUUACCCCAUUAAACAUUUACGUCCCCAGCACGCCCUCCCUCCCUUCCCCAGCGUGUGCCGUUUCCUCUGGCCUUUCCCCCAGUUUCCUAUUUUAGAUGCAGACCCCCCCUCGAUCCCUUUAAACCACACUUGCUACUAUGGGAACCACGCUGUCGUUGGCACGGAAGGAGGGUGCCAAGGACACGGCUUUGCAGGAUGAGGCCACUUCCAGCAUCAUGAUCCUUCCCUUGAACCUCUCUCCCCCUCCAGACACAGCCUUUUCUUUUGGCCAUGGCAAAACCAAGGAGGGUGACCAAAACCAUCAAACGGCUGUUAGGAAUUGUGGGAGCUGGAGUCCCAAACACCUGGAGGGCCCCGGUGUUUGGCUACCAGUAUUAAAAAACUCAAAAAUCAGACCAGUAAAUAAGGAGCAACACUCUGAAAACAGAGGAGUUCCAGACAAGAAUCAACCAGGGGCAGCUAACGACUCUGAACAAAGGAUGCCCCCAGGCAGGAAGAAGCCAGGAGAUAAAGCUAUUCAAUACUAAUUAAGGUGAUUACUACAACAUUCACACUGGCCUCCAACUGACAAGAGUUCUUCUCUCACCCUGGACUUUCCACAUACAGUAGAGUCUCACUUAUCCAACAUUCUGGAUUAUCCAAUGCAUUUUUGUAGUCGAUGUUUUCAAUAAAUCGUGAUAUUUUGGUGCUAAAUUCGUAAAUACAGUAAUUACUACACAGCAUUCUUUCGUAUUGAACUACUUUUUCUGUCAAAUUUGUUGUAUAACAUGAUGUUUCGGUGCUUGAUUUGUAAAAUCAUAACCUAAUUUGCUGUUUAAUAGGCUUUUCCUUAAUCCCUCCUUAUUAUCCAACGUAUUUGCUUAUCCAACGUUCUGCCGGCCCGUUUAUGUUGGAUAAGUGAGACUCUACUGUAUAUAUAUAAACCUUCCUUGCUUAGUUUCUCCAUAACUCACAACCUCUGAGGAUGCCUGCCACAGAUGUGGGCGAAACGUCAGGAGAGAAUACUUCUGGAACAUGGCCAGACAGCCCGGAAAACACACAACAAGCCUAUGAUAGGUUUUCCUUAGGAUCGCCGUAAGUCGCAAAUGAUUUGAAGGCACACAACAACAACAACAACAGGACCAUUAAAGGCCCACAAAAAAGUAGCCCUUGAGCUGAGCAGCGUUGUCGUGCAAUUGGACCGAGGCACCAAACCGAACCCUUCCAGCCCAUAACCAAAUGCACAUGUCCAGCAUGGCAUCCAUGUGCACUUCCUAUAACCUUGCACCAGAGAUGGAUGUUCUGCAAUAGAGCAAACUGCCUGGCUGCUUCUGUGGGGAAUGGGCGCAAGUAUGCACAAGUCAGCCAGAGGUCUCCGGAAAAGCCGACAUGCAGCAAAGGCAAACUGGAAGCAAAACCAGAAGCAUAAUGUUAGUAUGAAGGCGGAGAAUUCAUCAGAACAAAAGGCUGGCCUGAAUUAAUUCCUGCACAAGGGAUGCCACAGAUGGGGGGAAAUGCAGAGGAAGAGGUCCAUUUGGGUUGUAAUGGAAGCGCAUGGAAGAAAUGUUCCAUGGAUGCAUUUCUGCUGCUUAACUAGAAAGGCAAAGAUGGAGAUGGCUGCUUCAUAUUGUCAUGGUUUGCAAAGUCCCUGUGCUGUGUGAAUUAACUGGAAAAUGAAGUGCAUGAAGUCGAUUGGCUGAGUCUGCAAAGACCUGGGGAUUGAUUUGACACUGUUUCUGUUCUGCUGCUGCAGAACCAGUUUGAACAAAUUUUUCAGUGCUGACUGAGUACUGUCCCCGCUGGUUUGCUUUUAAUUACUCUGAUUAUAUCUGCUUGAAUUUUAAUGUAUUGUCCAUUAUUUUAUUUUGUGUAUCAUUGAAAUGUUUUAGGUUUUGGCAAAUAUGUUGUGUCGUUGUUUCGGGCUUGUCCCUGUUGUGAGCCGCCCCGAAUCGCUUUGGGGAGAUGGGGCGUGAUAUAAAAAUUAAGAUGAUGAUGAUGAUGAUGAUGAUGAUGAUGAUGAUUGCCUGUGAAGAAUAGCAGCAUAGAGAAGCCUUGCUAUUUUGAGGCCUGUUUGCUGCUGCAAAAAGGGUGAAGAAACAGGACUGUAUUCUUCUCUGAAGCAGAUUUGUGGACUGAGAAAGGACUGUUUAUGACCGUGGACUUCUGUAAGUGAUCAGAGGGACCAUUGUAAACACUACUGUUUUUUGAUCUCUUGGAAUCAAUAAAGUUUCUGUAUUUUUGUUCUGCAAACCUGAGUGGCACGUUAUUGUUCUGCGGGUGACUCUGGAUCACGGGCACACGUAAGAGCUUCCAUUUAUCAUCAUCAAUCCGUAACACAUAUCCAGUCUCAAGAUGCAAACUGGUGGAUCCAAUUACGAGAAAGAGGAUCCCACUUCAUCAUCAGGAAGACCUUUGUUUCAGGUGGAACAUGGGCCUCCCCAUCACUGGAGGCCUUUAAAGAGAAGCUGUGUGGGCCUCUCUCGGGGAUGCUUGAGCUGUGCCUUGCUGCCAGGCAGAACGGGGCCAGGCUAGAUGGCCUUUGGCGUCCCUUGCAGCUCAACGAUUGCAGGCAGCCUUUCCUCACCCUUUGGAGACCCCAAUCCGGAGCUGUUCCUGCCAGAGGAGGGGAGAGAGAGGGGGGCUCUUUCGGAUAUCCUGGCACUAAGCCACAGCAGAGCCUGAUGGAAUUAAGAGGGUUUGUGCUUGUUUUAACUUGCCAUGGGGCUUAGCAGGCUUUUAGGCUCUUUAAAGGCCUCCUGGGUUCCGUCUUUUCAAAUUGUUCUGAGUGGCUUUCAUUGUCACGCUGCCCGAGAUGCCAGGAGAGAAAGAGGGAGGGGUGCAAAGGCUUUAAUGGGGGAAGAAAGAGGGGCCUUGGGCAGGAAGCUCUUCGGCAGGAGGCCUUGCUACCCUUGGAGCCCCAGACAGACACAUCAUGCCCAGGAAAGAGAAGAGAUGCAAGGCCACUGCCAAACCCAUGGUCCAGAAGAGCACUUUACAGCUGGGAAGGCUCCAGGUUUGCAUAAUUUGGGUCUCCUUCAUUGGAGACCCAAUGCCUCCUUUACACUCUCUGGUUCUGCUGCUGCUCAGUGGUUUAGUUGUCUCCAACUCUUGGUGACCUCCUGGACCAGUCCAGGCCAGAGCUCCCUGUCGGCUGUCGCCGCCCCCAGUUCCUUCAAGGUCAAGCCAGGCCCUUCAAGGACACCGUCCAUCCAUCUCGCCCUUGGUCGGCCUCUCUUCCUUUUUCCUUCCAUUUUCCCCAGCAUCGUGAUCUUCUCCAAGCUUUCCUGUCUCCUCAUGAUGUGGCCAAAGUCCUUCAUCUUUGCCUCCAAUAUCCUUCCCUCCAGUGAGCAGCCAUCGGGCCUUAUUUCCUGGAGGAUGGACUGGUUGGAUCUUCUUGCCAAGGUCCAAGGCACGCUCAGGAUUUUCCUUCAAAAACGUCUCUCUUCCUUCACUCAGCCUUCCUUAUGGUCCAGCUCUCGCAUCCAUAGGUUACUCUGGGGAAGACCAUGGCUUUGACAAUGCGGACCUUCCUUCGUUGCCAGUGAGAUGUCUCUGCUCUUCACUCUUUUGUCCAGGUUGGCCAUUGCUCUCCUCCCAAGAAGGAAACACCUUCUGAUUUCCUAGCUGCAGUGAUCUUCAUGCCUAAAAAUAUAAAGUCUGUCACUGCCUCCACGCUUUCUCCCUCUAUUUGCCAUUUAUCAAUAGGUGUAGUUGCCAUGAUCCUGGUUUUCUUGACGUUCAGCUGCAACCCAGCUUUUGCGCUUUCUUCUUUCUUUCACCUUGAUGAUAAGGCUCCUUAGCUCCUCCUCACUUUCAGUUUUCAUCAGAGUGGUCUCAUCUGCAUACCUAAGGUUGUUCAUGUUUCUUCCAGCAAUUUUAACUCCGGCCUUGGAUUCCUCAAGCCCCACACGUAUGUCGCAUGGUGUGUUCUGCGUACAAGUUGAAUAGGGAGGGUGAGAGGACGCAGCCCUGAUGUCCACACUCCUUUCUCAAUCUUGAACCAGUCUCCUGUUCCGUGAUCUCUCUGAAGAACUGAAUUCUCUGGUUCAGUUCUUCCCAAAAGCCAUUGCUUUCCUCCGGGGUUUUAGUCCAAAAUGUAAAGAUGCAGAGAGCAAAUCUUGAGGCACCAUGGGCAGGACACAUCAAAGACGGAACCCAAUUCAGAGCAGAUUUAGUGGAAACGACGGCUGCUCACGUUGGUCCAAAGAGACACUACUAAUGCACCCAAGGCACAUCCUUGGAGUUAGUUUUGUCGAAACGGGACAGUUUGUUAUAAAGCAGGCAUGGGCCAACUGUUGGGGAUCACCCUGGAUUACUUAAGUCUAAAUGUUGUCAGAUAGAUGAUAGAGUUAGAUUGAGGGGAUCCUUUCCCCGUUUCCAAAGCAUGCCUAGAUAGGCUUUACUAUUGUUUCCUCCUUCCUGUCCUAUUUAGGUCAACCCACCCUUUGAUGCUUUAGAAAUGUGAUCUCUCCUAGGGCUUUGACGUAACUUCCCCAAUUUGGCCUUUGGAAUGUUUAUGGCCCUAGAGAAGAAGAGACCCACGAGGUUGGUCGCCAUUCCUUCUUCCUGCUUUGUUCCAGAAAGGACUCACUUUGUCCCCUCUUGUAGUCAAGAUGUAGCUAUCUAGACCUUUGUUAUUUUUAAUCCGUCUAUGUGUUUUUAGAGCAGAUUAGAUUAGCUAAUUAGCUCCAAACCUUUUCUAUCCAUCAAUGGAUUUCUUUUUACCUCAAUAAAUGCUUUUAAACUUUAAAGCUAACUUUGCGUUCCUUUGCCUUCCUGAAGACUCAGAGGCCUUCCAAAACUCACACCGCGACCGCAUAAGUCUCAUUGCUGCAUUUUACUCUGCUAUUUUAAUGGGAAUAUACCUCAUAAAGGGGGUGAUUUGAGCUUAUCGGCUCAUUAAUUCCCAACACCAACUUCACCCCCCCCCAGGUGUUUUGGAUUUCAACUCCUAUCUAUCUAUCUAAAAAUGUAAUGUACGUUUGUAGGACUGAGUAAGCAACAAAACCACUGAAACAAAUCACACCAAAUUUGGCCACAAAAGACGUAGUCAUCCAAUCUAUGUCUUUCAAACAAAAAAAAACCUGGAAAAUAAACUCCAAAUUAGAAAACAAGGAAGAGCCAUUUUCAACCCUAGUUGCUGGUCAGAAGGGUAGCCCCUGUCCCCUUUAGGCUCCGCCCACUCCAUCUCCUAGCAACCCCCUCGGCCACAAUGGCGAUGGAGUACAGCCAGGGUUCAGGCUUUGAGGCUGCAAGGCUAUUCACUGCUAUUCCACCUGGCCAACAAAGCAUUCCCAUAAACCACAGCAACGAGUGGCUGGGCAAAGCUAGUAAUUCCUAAGAAUUGUGGGAGUUGAAGUCCAAAACAACAGGAGGGAGGGCCAAAGUUGGCCCAUGCCUGUUAAAAGGAGAAGUCGUAGAGUUAUGUUUUGCCUGAGAUGCAGUGGGUUACACCCCUCGGACCAUGUAAACAUACGUGGAUAUGUACACACACGUUAACAUUGGCUGCCAAUGGAGGAAAUUCACUUUUGGAUUAAGGCUUUAAUCUCUAACCCACCCGCCUCCCUUGCAAGCGCAGCGGCCAUCUAAUCUGCAGCUCUCCCUCCUGGGAAGCUUUCUGCACAUGAGACACGAAUGAGGGAGGGAAUCGCGCUAUAUAGCUGCAGACAGUCCUGGACUGCAGGGCCCAGCAUCCCCUGAGCCAGAACAGCCAAUAGGCAAGGAAUGCUGGGAGCAGUAGUCAACAGCAGCCAGUCAACUAUCCUUUUGCAGUCUUCCUCCGACCCUUCCCUCCUUUCCAUAGGCAAGGCUGUAACAUCACGGGAUUUGCUGAAACAUGCUGCUCUCGCUUUGAGACACAUUUAAAUCUAAUCUAAAUCUAAUCUAAUCUAAUCUAAUCUAAUCUAAUCUAAUCUAAUCUAAAUCUAUCUAAUCUAAUCUAAAUCUAAAUCCAUAAUAAAAGUGAAAACCCGUAUGUGUGUAUGUGGCAGGCAUGUCCGCUCACACAGACAAACUCCGGCCUCCACAAACAGGCUACACUUCCCACUGCUCAAAAGCCAGCAAGUCACUACUUUGCACUGACAUUGAGGUUACAGCGAGCACCAUGAACAUGUAGGCCAACCCCUGCCAAUGUCCUCCCCAAACACUACAAACAACCACCUAAGGAAUGCUUUCAUUUGGGGACAAUUUCAUCCUAUAUUUUGCUUUUUUUCCACCACACGCAGGCAUCCCAACGUUCUCCAUUGCUGUGGAAUUUGCAUGGCCCCGCCUACUGCCCUUCCCUUUCAAAUUUGUCUGCAUAGCAAACUGCAGAAUUUAGCUGCAACUACACUUACUGGAGGAGUUUGGGACAUUGAAGUUGUAGUUUACCCUGCAUCGAGUCAGAGCACUGUGACUCCAACUGGGAAAUUUAUAGGAGUUGUACUUCACCAACACCCACAACGCUAUGAACCCAAACAAUUAUGGGUCUAGACCAAAUUUGCCAUGCAUACCUGAUAUGCCCAGAUUUCAAUACUGGUGGGUUUGGAGGGGAAUUGGCCUGGACAUUUGGGAGUAGUAGGUACUGGGAUUUAUAGUUCACCUGCAAUGAAUGAGCACUUCCAACCCCACUGAUGAUGCACCAGGACCAAACUUGCCACACACAGGCCCAUAACCAAUACAACGUAUUGGACAAGUUGGGGGGAAAGGGAGUUAUAGUUCACCUGCAUCAGAGAAACACUGACGCCCACCGACAAUGGUCCAGGACCACACUUCGCACAGAGAAGCCUCAUAACCGACUGAACAUACUACAUGGGUUUGUGGGAAUCGGCUUUGAUUUUCGGAGUUGUAGUUCACCUGCAUCCAAAGACCAUUGACCCCAACCAACGGAUGGAUCUGGACCAAACUUGGCACACAGACUCGACAUAGCCUGCUGUGCAUACUGACAAAUGUUGCGGGACAAUUGCCCCGGGACUCUGCGAGUUGUAGUCGUUCACCCCCAUCCAGAGACCACUCCAGCCACGUAAUGACCACCCAACAACAUAUCUGGACCACACUUGGUACACAGAUCCAAAAUGGCCAACUUUUCAUACUGCCAGGGUUUUGGGAGGAUUGACCCACGAUUCCGGGAAUUGUAGUUCACCCACUCCAAACACAAUACAUAACACUGAAAGACAAGUAAUACCAUUCUCAAAUGAGCCGGGCGCCACCGGGUCCCCAAGCUAGUAGUCUAUGAAGAAUGGCAAGGGAAUCCCAGGAAGAUUCUGGAGCAGACCAUGAAAGAGGCAGCUUGCAAUCACUUAGAAAGGAAUGCUGUGCUCACUCAAAGUCAGCAUGGGAUUUCUCAGAAACAAGUCAUGUCAGACUCAUCUAUUUCUUCAAUAGAGUUACAAGCUUGGUAGAUGCAAGGAGUGCUGUGGAUGGAGCAGAUCUUGCCUUCAGGAAGGCCUUCAACAAAGUCCCCCAUGGCCUUCUUGCAAGCAAACUAGUCCAAUGCGGGCUAGAUAAGGCUACUGUUAGGUGGAUCUGGAAUUGGCUAAGCGACCAAACUCAAAAGGUGUUUCUCCCCAAUGGUUCCUCUUCAUCCUGGAAAGAAGGGACUAUUUGGGUCACUUGAAGAAGGUUCGGUCCUGGGCCCAGUUCUGUUCAACGUCUUUAUCAAUGACUUGGAUGAAGGUUGAGAGGGAAGGCUGAUCAAGUUUGCAGGCGACACCAAAUUAGGAGGGAUAGCUAAUAGUCCAGAGGACAGGAGCAGAAUUCAAAAUGACCUCAACAAAUUAGAGAGAUGAAUGGCCAAAACGAACACAAUGAAUUUCAACAAAGAGAAAGGACGGAUACUUCACACUGGCAGAAAAACUGAAAUGCAAAGAUACAGGAUGGGAGACGCCUGGCUCCACAACAGAGUCACACGUGAAAGAGGUCUUGGAGACUUCGGGGAGAACAAGCUGAACAUGAGCCAAGAGUGUGAAGCAGCAGCUACAAAAGCUAAUGGGAUUUUGGGCUGCAUCAAAAUGAAUUUAGUGAGGGAUUGAGGGAAGACAGGGUGCCUCCUUAUUCCACUUUGGUCAGACCUCUUUACCUGGAAUCACACUGUGUCCAAUUCUGGGCAGCAUAUUUCAAAAGAGAGAUUGACAAGCUGGAAGGCGUCCAGAGGAAGGGGGCAACAAAAAGGAUCAAAGGUCUGGAGACAAUGAAUCCCCUUGAGGAGCGGCUUAAAGAGCUUGGCCUGCUUAGCCUCAGGCCCCUUCUACACUGCCAUAUAAAAUCCAGAUUAUCUGCCUUGAACUGGAUUAUACAGAAGUGUAGAAGGGGCCUCAGAAGAGGUGAGAGUAGACAUGAGAGCUAUGUAUAAAUAUGUGAAAGGACAUUCCAAGGAAGAGGGAUCAGUCUUCCGUUCUGCUGCCAUGCAGACUAGGACUCUAUGGAGACGUGGGUUCAAAUGGCAGAAGAGGAGAUUCCACCUGAACAUUAGGAAUAACUUACUGACUGUAAGAAGAGCUGCUCAGCAGUGGAACUCUCUGCCUCAGAGCCCAGUGGAAGCUCCCUCUUUGGAGGCUUUUAAACAGAGGCUGGGUGGCCGUUUGCCAAGGAUGUUUUGAUUGUGCUUUUCCUGCAUGGCAAAAGGGGGUUGGACUGGAUGGCCCAUGUGGUCUCCUUCAACUCUUUAUGGAGUGGCUUAAAGAGCAGGACAUGUUUAGCCUGCAGAAGAGAAGGCUGAGAGGAGACAUGAGAGCCAUGGAUCAAGAUGUGAGAGGGGAAGUGUAAUGAAGUAUGAAUUUUUGAUUUACAGAUGUUAUGUUUAAUUGUGUGUUUGUGUUUUAAAAGGGUAAGUAUUACAGUUAUUGCAUCUCAGCACUCAGAGGCUGGUUGCCAUGGAGAAGUAGGCAGAGCCAACUGCCGUUUUGUUGAAGAAGUGCAGAGUUUAAAAAAGGGAUUCAGUCUGUGCUCUGAGGAGGCACAGGGAAGAUUGAUCCUAGGUUGAUGGGAUCAGGGAGACUCAAUUGUUCAUUUUUAAUCAGUUUAAAAUAAGUUUGGUGACUUAUUUAAUGUAGUCUGUGUCCUGGUAAGGAACAGAGAAUUUGUGAUCAUAUAUCACAGGGAUGACUGCGGUUUAAAAGUAGCAGAGGAAGAAGUUCUAACUACUUUAAGAAAAAAAGUGACACUUUAGGGAGUUUGACUCACCUCAUUCUAGUAUUGUAACUGUUAAUAAAAGUGUCUCUAAGUUAGAAACAACAUUGUAACCACUAAGCUUUGUGCCUGAAUAAACAUGUUAUUGUUCCUCCAACAUCUAA